rnacentral:lncRNA from 1 species
CAUGAAUACAUCUGCUGACUUGAAGUCUCCCAGGAUCAUAGAUUUUUGUGCUGCUCGCCUUGGAAGAGGUGAGCUCCUUCCUCUUGGUGUAUCGCUGGGGUUUGCUGCAUGCCCCCACUCACAUCACAUGGUCCUGCCCUAGGACCCUGAGAGCCUCCUCCAACAGCAGGUCAGUUUGGCUUGGAGCUAAAGGACAAAUCCAUGGUGUACAUCAGCCCUGCCUUUCGAUGUGGUGCCAGUGUGUUGGGCUGCCAUUCAGGAGAACCGAGGUGGAAAUGGAAGCCAAACUACACGUGGCUCUUGGGUGUCUCUCUGUAUGAUAAACCAGGGGGGUGCACUGUGCCAUUUCUCAACAAUGCAUGCAUUUUCUUUCCAUUGAAAUGCUAUGGUUGGUGUUACAGUUUUCAAAUUAAAAACUGAAUGUGUUUGAAUAUUUUCCCACACAAACAUUUCUUUGACUUGCAAAAUUCUUUUCUGUUAAAAGUGUCAGAGUGGAUUUUUAACCCAUUCUAAGAAAUUUUCUGCUGUCAAAAAUGACUAAUAUCCUAAACUCUCUUAAGAGUUAUUUGUCCCCAUUUUCCUUGCUGAAAAACGAUGAUUUCUGGAAUUGUUUUUGUUUUGUUUUGUUUUCUUUUUUCUCCCUUUAGUAUUCUUCUAGCAUCUCCAUAGUUUUUUCUCACCCAUGUAUAGCACUAAACUUUGGAAAGAGUGAUUUUUCUGAACAUGGAAAGUAAAAGAAAUGGCACAGUAGUUCAGCUGGGAUUAAGAAGAGAUUUAAGCCAAGCCUGAUCUAUAGGGAGAACUUUUCUGGAACCAAAAUGCUCCUACAGGUUUUUUUUUUUGAGCUUAGUAUUUUUUGGAAGUUCAAUGUACACUUCUACAAGGACUUCCAAAUGUAUCUUGUUCACUAAUAAAUUCCAAAUAAUUAUUGCUGGCUUUUGGGCU